AUAGACGGGAUAAGAGAAGUUUGGAAAGAGGAUUCAAGAUUCUCGGUUUAUUCUAUAAAUCCCAGAGAGCGGACCAAAAUGGCGUUUACGCCAUCCCUCUUUAGAGGGAUGAAGAGACGACUGACGAAGUAGCGUGUACGUUGGCAGGGAGUUGCAUCAAUCACUUCGAAAAUGGGUCGAUCGAUUCGUAGCAAUGGUACUCUGUACGUAGUUGCAAAGUAGAAGCUGCAUCGGCAGCAGGCCCAGAACACGUUUAUACGAGGACCAAAGAUAGCUUUGGCUUGGACGUAUAACGCAAUCUAACAGAAGUUUCGAUUCUAUGGGAUCACGUGGAAAAACACAUGAAAACGAGUCGACACAUACCCGGUAGGAAGAGAAAUAGGGAAAACGAGAUCAAGCUGUGAGUCGGAGGCUCAAGUAAAAUCAUAUCACUGGUCGACGUCAAUGUGUCAACCUGUAUAUUCCCCGCAGACUCAUCGGAGAAACCUUGUGAAAUCCAAUACGCACAUCUAAUACGAAAGAGAAAGCAAGAUCUACAUCGAACGCGCUGUGCAAGGGAUUGGAAAAUAUCAACCUACCGGAACGCGUGGAAUCCACCUUCAGAUCUGAUCACAACGAUAGAAAACCGUUCCAACGUACAAAACAACGCUGAAUCAUAUUCUUGGAAGAUUCGACAUCUCACUUCCAAAGGAUUUUGCAAUGGCGCACAGCUCUAUUACAUCCCGGACCCUCGUGCGUGUAUAGGUCAUACAGGGUGCACAUAAAUAUGCGACGC